GACGAACGCUGGCGGCGCGCCUAACACAUGCAAGUCGAACGAGAGAGAGGGAGCUUGCUUCCUCGAUCGAGUGGCGAACGGGUGAGUAACGCGUGAGGAACCUGCCUCAAAGAGGGGGGACAACAGUUGGAAACGACUGCUAAUACCGCAUAAGCCCACGACCCGGCAUCGGGUUGAGGGAAAAGGAGCAAUCCGCUUUGAGAUGGCCUCGCGUCCGAUUAGCUAGUUGGUGAGGUAACGGCCCACCAAGGCAACGAUCGGUAGCCGGACUGAGAGGUUGAACGGCCACAUUGGGACUGAGACACGGCCCAGACUCCUACGGGAGGCAGCAGUGGGGAAUAUUGCACAAUGGGGGAAACCCUGAUGCAGCGACGCCGCGUGGAGGAAGAAGGUCUUCGGAUUGUAAACUCCUGUUGUUGAGGAAGAUAAUGACGGUACUCAACAAGGAAGUGACGGCUAACUACGUG
rnacentral:rRNA from 1 species